GUGGGGAAUAUUGCACAAUGGGCGAAAGCCUGAUGCAGCAACGCCGCGUGAGGGACGACGGCCUUCGGGUUGUAAACCUCUUUUAGUAGGGAAGAAGCGAAAGUGACGGUACCUGCAGAAAAAGCACCGGCUAACUACGUGCCAGCAGCCGCGGUAAUACGUAGGGUGCAAGCGUUAUCCGGAAUUAUUGGGCGUAAAGAGCUCGUAGGCGGUCUGUCGCGUCUGCUGUGAAAACUGGAGGCUCAACCUCCAGCCUGCAGUGGGUACGGGCAGACUAGAGUGCAGUAGGGGAGAUUGGAAUUCCUGGUGUAGCGGUGGAAUGCGCAGAUAUCAGGAGGAACACCGAUGGCGAAGGCAGAUCUCUGGGCCGUAACUGACGCUGAGGAGCGAAAGCGUGGGGAGCGAACAGGAUUAGAUACCCGGGUAGUCC
rnacentral:rRNA from 1 species